rnacentral:rRNA from 1 species
CAUUAUCGAGUAACAUCUGUUGAAUCUGUAGCUGGCCAAGCUUUGGCAAUGUGCACGAUUUCAACCUUUUACAAACACACACACACUUGUGCAUUCUUUGUAGAUUCUUGUGAGAGGAUCUAUGUAAUUUUAUUUUACAACUUUACUCUGCAUGGCAUGAUGUUGGUUUUAUAUACACAUGAUAUACAACUUUCAGCAAUGGAUCUCUUGGCUCUCGCAUCGAUGAAGAACGCAGCGAAUUGCGAUAAGUAAUGUGAAUUGCAGAUUUUCAGUGAAUCAUCGAAUCUUUGAACGCACCUUGCGCUCCUUGGUAUUCCAAGGAGCAUACCUGUUUGAGUGUCAUUUGAAUUCUCAAGCUAAGGAUUUCUUUUCUUUGGUAUUGGAAUUGGGAGUUGCAGGCGGGGCUGAAGGGUCCGUCAGCUCUUCUGAAAUGUAUAUUAUAUAUUAGCCCGUUGCACGGCUCGAGUUGGAUGUGAUAAUGAUCAUCAUCAUCAUCCCCCCUUGGGCUGGAGUGAGCGGGUGUUGUGCGCGCAGAGAGAGGGGGGGUACUGGUACUUAGUACUAGUACCUAGUACUUGGUGCGCAUUUCUUAUGAAUUGACCUCAGAUCAGGUAGGACUACCCGCUGAACUUAAGCAUAUCAAUAAGCGGAGGAAAAGAAACUAACAAGGAUUCCCCUAGUAACUGCGAGUGAAGCGGGAAGAGCUCAAAUUUUAAAUCGGACAUGUGUUUGACUGUUCGAGUUGUAAUCUAGAGAAGCGUGUUCUGUGCUGGACCGUGUACAAGUCUCCUGGAAGGGAGCGUCAUAGAGGGUGAGAAUCCCGUCUUUGACAUGGACUACC